CUAACACGUGUGUAGGUAAGCCAUGCCUGGGUGUGGGGGAACAGCCGCAGUGAAGCUGGGACACUGUAGAGCCAUCCGUUGCUCUCCUUAAGGAUUAGUCUAGAUGCCCUGUUUCUCCCUUUGCUGCUCCUCAGUCUCCAGAGAGGAAGCUAGUGAGGCAGAAGAGCUUGGGGUCUCCACUCCCUCUUGCCCUCAGGGCAUGUUCUAAAGAAUGAGUUUUCUCCCCCUUGAACAGAGAAGGUAGAAUGCUAACACUCAGGCCUGCUAAUCCUACUCACCCACCCAAUGCCUCACACUAGAAUUGGCUUCCAUCUUCAUCAGGGUCUUCCCAUGAGACCAUAAACUAUCUCAGUGGGGCAGUGUCUUCCCAUGGAUCAGACAUCAGCCUGGUGCCUGACCCAGAGCAGCCAGCUGCUCAGCAUCCGUUGGAUUCUCACAUUUUGCUAAAACUUUAGUGUGCAUCAACUACAUUUGUGUACACAGCUCUGAAGGAGCCAGGGCUCAGCAAGAGAAGUUAAAUAGUUAGCCAGGGUUACACAGGGCAGGUCAGUGGAGCCAGACAGCAUCCUUAUCUUGUAUAAGUCAACAAGGAACCCGAGUGCACUCUCGGCCAGCUCGAUGACCUCUGACCCUCCAGAGCAAGCCCGCAGCUCUCAGCCCCCAUUCAGGCGUGCACGUAGGACCUCAGAACCCUCCCAUCUUCUCCCAGCCAAUCCACAUCAAGGGGUCGGCUCCUGCUGGCUGGGGGCCGGGUCAAGGUCUUCACUUCCCAGGGCUUUUUUAUCUAAAAGGAACGAAGUCAACUGACCUCAUUUGCAUAACUGGCUGGACAAAGGAGGACACAGGCUCUCACCUUCGGGCUGAGACAAGUCCACCGGCCACUACCCCAGCCCCGGCCGCGAAGCAAGACUAACUUUGUAGUCUCAAGCGCCUCUGUGAUCUACAGCUGAGAACGAGAUGUUGUGGGUCGGUUUUGAAGUUCUGAGACAGUGUUAUGCUGCAGCCCAGGCUGACCCUGAUAUGGAGGUCCUACUGCGCCAGUCUCAGUCAGUCCCAGAGUGUUGGGAUUGCAGUUGGACCUCACCACGCCUGGCUGAGAUUACAGUUUGUGUCACUUUCCUCACUGUCUUGUCUGUCCCCCACCCCCACCCCAAUAAUUCAGGUUCACAAGAAUCCCCAUCUAAGGCUCUGCCUCUAGCGAGGCCACCCAGGCCCUAAAUCCCUUCAUUCUUUUGUUUUUCCUUUUUAAAAAUGUAUUCUUCUUUCAUGUAGUACAUCCCAACACAAUUCCCUUCUCCCCCCUCCUGCCAGUCUCCCCCUUUCCCAUUCCUCCAAAUUUACCCCCACCUUCGGAAUUCUUUAUUUCACACACAGUCCAGGAAAUCCUGUGGCUCCUGAGGUUGACAGAAGGUGGGAAGAGAAGUAGAAAAGUAAGACACAGACACGCGCAGAAAGAAGUGUUCGUGCUGGCAUCGGUGACCCAUUGUGACACUGGUGGAUAGAAUGACACCGUUGACAAAGACAAACACGACAUCUACAGCUCGGAGAUGAAUUUAUUUCUGGGUCAAAGGUAGAAGUUGGAUUUGAUCAGAUGGCUCAGAAGCAGCGGCUCUCAACCUGUGGGGCUAGACCACCAGAAAAUGUAGUUCUGGUAGUCUUGGGAACCGAGCCACCACUCAGUAGCAAAAGACAGCUAUGAAGUAGCAAUGAAAAUGAAUUUAUAAACCGGGCGUGGUGGCGCACGCCUUUAAUCCCAGCACUUGGGAGGCAGAGGCAGGCAGAUUUCUCAGUUUGAAGCCAGCCUGGUCUACAGAGUGAGUUCCAAGACAGCCAGGGCUACACAGAGAAAGCCUGUCUCGAAAAACCAAAAAGAAAAAAAAAGAAUAAGAAAAUGAAUUUAUGGUUGGGAGAUUCCUAAGACAAUGGGAAAUAUGUGUUUUCUGAUGGUCGUGACCUGCAGGUUGAGCAACGGCUGGUUCAGUGGGUAAAUUUACCAUACAAACCUGGUAAUCUGAGUUCAAGCCCUGGAACCCAUGCAAAGGAAGAAGAAAAUUGACUCCACCACAAAGCUGGGCUGGAGAGAUGG